GCCCGUCCAGAAUGUGCAACCUUUGUCACAGACUUUCUUCAAAUUAGAGACAGUUAAACAGAGCUUCGACCUGGAGGAGUACAGCCUCUCACAGUCCACCCUGGAGCAGGUUUUCCUGGAGCUCUCCAAGGAGCAGGAGCUGGAGCACUGUGACGAGGAACUUCCCGCCUCAGUGAAGCAGAAGCUCCUCCCGCAGGAAGAGCCUC